AGUUUGAUUAUGGCUCAGGACGAACGCCUGGCGGCGUGCCUAAUACAUGCAAGUAGAACGCCUAAGGAGGAGCUUGCCUCUUCGGAAGAGUUUGCGAACGGGUGAGUAACGCGUAGGUAACCUGCCUGGUAGCGGGGGAUAACUAUUGGAAACGAUAGCUAAUACCGCAUAAUAGUAGAUGUUUGCAUGACAUUUGCUUAAAAGGUGCAAUUCGCAUCACUACCAGAUGGACCUGCGUUGUAUUAGCUAGUUGGUGAGGUAACGGCUCACCAAGGCAACGAUACAUAGCCGACCUGAGAGGGUGAUCGGCCACACUGGGACUGAGACACGGCCCAGACUCCUACGGGAGGCAGCAGUAGGGAAUCUUCGGCAAUGGACGGAAGUCUGACCGAGCAACGCCGCGUGAGUGAAGAAGGUUUUCGGAUCGUAAAGCUCUGUUGUAAGAGAAGAACGAGUGUGAGAGUGGAAAGUUCACACUGUGACGGUAUCUUACCAGAAAGGGACGGCUAACUACGUGCCAGCAGCCGCGGUAAUACGUAGGUCCCGAGCGUUGUCCGGAUUUAUUGGGCGUAAAGCGAGCGCAGGCGGUUAGAUAAGUCUGAAGUUAAAGGCUGUGGCUUAACCAUAGUACGCUUUGGAAACUGUUUAACUUGAGUGCAAGAGGGGAGAGUGGAAUUCCAUGUGUAGCGGUGAAAUGCGUAGAUAUAUGGAGGAACACCGGUGGCGAAAGCGGCUCUCUGGCUUGUAACUGACGCUGAGGCUCGAAAGCGUGGGGAGCAAACAGGAUUAGAUACCCUGGUAGUCCACGCCGUAAACGAUGAGUGCUAGGUGUUAGACCCUUUCCGGGGUUUAGUGCCGCAGCUAACGCAUUAAGCACUCCGCCUGGGGAGUACGACCGCAAGGUUGAAACUCAAAAGGAAUUGACGGGGGCCCGCACAAGCGGUGGAGCAUGUGGUUUAAAUUCGAAGCAAACGCGAAGAACCUUACCAGGUCUUGACAUCCCUCUGACCGCUCUAGAGAUAGAGCUUUCCUUCGGGACAGAGGUGACAGGUGGUGCAUGGUUGUCGUCAGCUCGUGUCGUGAGAUGUUGGGUUAAGUCCCGCAACGAGCGCGAACCCCUAUUGUUAGUUGCCAUCAUUCAGUUGGGCACUCUAGCGAGACUGCCGGUAAUAAACCGGAGGAAAGGUGGGGAUGAACGUCAAAUCAUCGUGCCCCUUAUGACCUGGGCUACGCGCGUGCUACGAAUGGCUGGGACGAACGAAGUCGCAAGCCGGUGACGGGAGCUGAACGUCUUAAAGCCGGUCUCGGUUUCGGAUUGGAGGCUGCGGCUCGCCUGACAUAAGUCGGAAAUCGCGAGUGAUUCGCGAGUCGGGGCGGCCGCGGUAAAGACGUUCCCCGGGCCUGGGCGCUCCCGCCCGU
rnacentral:rRNA from 1 species